CGCUGGCGGCGCGCUUAAUACAUGCAAGUCGAGCGAGAACCAUGGCUUCGGCCAUGGGGACAGCGGCGAACGGGUGAGUAACACGUGGGUAAUCAACCCCCGACACCGGGAUAGCCCGGGGAAACCCGGAUUAAUACCGGAUGCCCCCAUCCGGCUCUCGAGCCGGCUGGAAAAAGGGUAGCUUCGGCCUCCGGUCGGGGACGAGCCCGCGGCGGAUUAGCUUGUUGGUGAGGUAACGGCUCACCAAGGCGACGAUCCGUAGCUGGUCUGAGAGGACGAUCAGCCACACUGGGACUGAGACACGGCCCAGACUCCUACGGGAGGCAGCAGUAGGGAAUCUUGCGCAAUGGGCGAAAGCCUGACGCAGCGAACCGCCGCGUGAGGGAAGAAGGCCUUCGGGUUGUAAACCUCUUUCAGGAGGGACGAAGCUACUCGGGUUAAUAGCCCAGAGGGUGGCGGUACCUCCAGAAGAAGCCCCGGCUAACUACGUGCCAGCCGCGGC
rnacentral:rRNA from 1 species